rnacentral:rRNA from 1 species
GUGUCAGCAGCCGCGGUAACACGGGGGGAGCAAGCGUUGUUCGGAAUCACUGGGCGUAAAGGGCGUGUAGGCGGUUAGGUAAGUGGGAUGUGAAAGCCCCCGGCUCACCCGGGGACCUGCAUUCCAAACUGCCUGACUUGAGUAUGGGAGAGGAUAGGGGAAUUCCUGGUGUAGCGGUGAAAUGCGUAGAUAUCAGGAGGAACACCGGUGGCGAAGGCGCCUAUCUGGCCCAAUACUGACGCUGAGGCGCGAAAGCUAGGGGAGCAAACGGGAUUAGAUACCCCAGUAGUCC